UAACUGGAGAGUUUGAUCCUGGCUCAGAGCGAACGUUAGCGGCGGGCCUAACACAUGCAAGUCGAACGCGAAAGGUCUUCGGACUGAUUGAGUGGCGCACGGGUGAGUAACACGUAGGUAAUCUACCCUUUGGCGGGGAUAACGUUCCGAAAGGGACGCUAAUACCGCAUAAGACCACACGGGCUCCGGCUCGAGUGGGAAAAGGUGGCCUCUUCUUGAAAGCUACCACCGGAGGAUGAGCCUGCGUCCCAUCAGCUAGUUGGUAAGGUAAUGGCUUACCAAGGCGAAGACGGGUAGCUGGUUUGAGAGAAUGAUCAGCCACACUGGCACUGGAACACGGGCCAGACUCCUACGGGAGGCAGCAGUGAGGAAUAUUGGGCAAUGGGCGAAAGCCUGACCCAGCCACGCCGCGUGAGUGAUGAAGGCCUUCGGGUCGUAAAGCUCUGUGGAGAGGGGAAAACCCUGGUUUCCACUAGGCUCCAAGCUUGACGGUACCUCUUUAGCAAGCACCGAGUAACUCUGUGCCAGCAGCCGCGGUAAUACAGAGGGGGCAAGCGUUGCUCGGAUUUACUGGGCGUAAAGCGCGCGUAGGCGGGUUCGCAAGUCGGACGUGAAAUCCUGGCUCAACCCAGGAACUGCGUUCGAAACUGCGCGGUGUAGAGGUGAAAUUCGUAGAUAUCGGGAGGAAUACCAGUGGCGAAGGCGGCUUUCUGGACACUUACUGACGCUGAGACGCGAAAGCGUGGGGAGCAAACAGGAUUAGAUACCCUGGUAGUCCACGCUGUAAACGAUGUGUGCUAGGUGUCGCGGGAUUUGACUUCUGCGGUGCCGUAGCUAACGCGUUAAGCACACCGCCUGGGGAGUACGGCCGCAAGGCUAAAACUCAAAGAAUCUGACGGGGCCCGCACAAGCGGUGGAGCAUGUGGUUUGAAUUCUGACGCAACGCGCAGAACCUUACCCAGGCUAGAAAAGGUAGAGAAGUCUGUAGAAAUACGGAUGUGCCUUUCAGGGGAAUCUAAUCCAGGUGCUGCAUGGCUGUCGUCAGCUCGUGUCGUGAGAUGUUGGGUUAAGUCCCGCAACGAGCGCAACCCUUGUCAUUAGUUGCUAACGGUUCGGCCGAGCACUCUAAUGAGACUGCCGGGGUUAACCCGGAGGAAGGUGGGGAUGACGUCAAGUCCUCAUGGCCCUUAUGUCUGGGGCUACACACGUGCUACAAUGGUCGGUACAAAGCGCAGCGAGCCCGCGAGGGGGAGCGAAUCGCAAAAAGCCGGCCUCAGUACGGAUUGCAGUCUGCAACUCGACUGCAUGAAGGCGGAAUCGCUAGUAAUCGCUGAUCAGCAGGCAGCGGUGAAUACGUUCCCGGGCCUUGUACACACCGCCCGUCACACCAUGGGAGUCGAGUGCUCCAGAAGUGGCUACGCCAACCCGCCAGGGAGGCAGGUCCCCAAGGAGUGUUUGGUAACUGGGGUGAAGUCGUAACAAGGUAGCCGUAGGGGAACCUGCGGCUGGAUCACCUCCUUU
rnacentral:rRNA from 1 species